AACCUGAUGCUGCUUAAUGCUACAUCAUUAAGGUUAAAGAUAAUCUCCUGGAGUAAACAUGAGCGAUAAAAUUAUUCACCUGACUGA
rnacentral:sRNA from 1 species